CUAACUCCGUGCCAGCAGCCGCGGUAAUACGGAGGUGGCGAGCGUUGCUCGGAAUCACUGGGCGUAAAGGGGGCGUAGGCGGCCGGACAAGUCGGACGUGAAAGCCCGGGGCUCAACCCCGGAGUUGCGUUCGAAACUGUUUGGCUUGGGGUCCGGAGAGGCCGGCGGAAUUCCCGGUGUAGGGGUGAAAUCCGUAGAUAUCGGGAGGAACACCGGUGGCGAAGGCGGCCGGCUGGACGGCACCUGACGCUGAGGCCCGAAAGCGUGGGGAGCAAACCGGAUUAGAUACCCGGGUAGUCCACGCCGUAAACGAUGGGUGCUAGGUGUGGGGGGUUAAACCUUCCGUGCCGAAGCUAACGCAAUAAGCACCCCGCCUGGGGAGUACGGCCGCAAGGCUGAAACUCAAAGGAAUUGACGGGGGCCCGCACAAGCGGUGGAGCACGUGGUUUAAUUCGAUGCAAAGCGAAGAACCUUACCUGGGUUUGACAUGCUAGGGGACCUUCCAGAGAUGGGAGGGUGCCCGGGCUUAGCCUGGGAGCCCUAGCACAGGUGCUGCAUGGCUGUCGUCAGCUCGUGUCGUGAGAUGUUGGGUUAAGUCCCGCAACGAGCGCAACCCUCGCCCUUAGUUGCCAGCGGGUGAAGCCGGGCACUCUAGGGGGACUGCCGGGGACAACCCGGAGGAAGGAGGGGAUGACGUCAAGUCAUCAUGGCCCUUAUGCCCAGGGCUACACACGUGCUACAAUGGGCGGUACAGAGGGAAGCGAACCCGCGAGGGGGAGUAGAUCCCAGAAAGCCGUCCUCAGUUCGGAUCGGGGUCUGCAACUCGACCCCGUGAAGCCGGAAUCGCUAGUAACGGCGGAUCAGCAUGCCGCCGUGAAUACGUUCCCGGGCCUUGCACACACCGCCCGUC
rnacentral:rRNA from 1 species